CUACAUGUAUUUGAAAUAUUUGAAUUGGAUAUCAAACUAAAUGAAAUUUGAGAGCAUUACACAUACCUUGAGAACUGACGAAUUGGAUAUCACCCCAAAGAAUCCAGAACCAAGAAUCAACAGUAGACACCGUAGUGACCACCAAACAGGACCUGAAAAAAGAUCACCAGAAGAAAACCUUAAUAUGUAAAAAGAUCAGAAAACACAGUAUCAAACUAUGGAAGUAACUAAUUAGUUAUCUAUUGCUACUAAAUGAAUGAAAGUCGGCCAGUCUUGCUUGUCUCGGCUUGCAACUCAGUUCCAACUAAAUCAUGUAAAUACCAUUAUAAUCAUACAUUCUAACAUUAACCGCCCCCUUUUGUCAGAUUAUAAUUUUGAUGCUACCAUUAUAUACAGUAAACCAAGAAGGAAAAAAAAGAAGAAAAAAUAACAUAAUAAUGCUGAUCUUUACACACACAUGCUACCAUUACCUCUUGUCUGAACAUCAAGGGUAAUGCUUGCACUACCGAGUCAAUUUAUUGAAGGCUCGUGAUGUGAAGGUGGAAACAAAGAACACAAACUUGCUCCAAUGCCAGCUGAAAUGUCCAACAAAAUAAGUGAAUUAUACAAGGGUAUCUGAGAAUUUGCAGGUUAAUUGAUAUUGAACAAAGGGGCUCCUUAGAGUUAGAAUGUAACUCAGUAAAUCAAUUCCAAACAUAGCAAAUUGGAACCUGAACUCUAUAACUAUCCUUUUACAACAAUUGAAAUACAAUAUGACCAUAAAGAAGUUUAGUAGUAUGUAUAUUGAGUCAUUCCCUUCAUCAGUUUUAAUCACUUAAUUACAUACAACAAAAUAGAACCCAUAGUAGUAGUACUAACCUGGACUCCUAUUCGCUUUUCAUCCCUCCUCUUUUUCCCAAAUCUAGACUUCUUGUUUUACCU
rnacentral:lncRNA from 1 species